rnacentral:tRNA from 1 species
GUGCCAUGGGAUAGCUCAGUUGGUUGGAGCAUGGUGUUGAUAACACCAAGGUUGCAGGUUCGAUCCCCAUAUGGGACA